rnacentral:rRNA from 1 species
UACAAGGGAGACUAGUGUUAUUCAUAUUUUAUUAGGUUUAAAGGGUACGUAGAUGGUAUAAAUAUAAUAUAUUUAAUGUCACUAUAAUAGUGACGUAACUAGAGUUCUAAUAUAGAAGAGGUAAAUUUUAGAAUUGAAAGAGGAACGAUAAAAAUGUUUUUAAUACUUUUAAGACUGGCAUGUGAAGACAUUCCUCUAUAUAUGAACUGACAUCAAGGGACGAAGGCAUGGGUAACGAACAGG